GAUGAACGCUGACAGAAUGCUUAACACAUGCAAGUCAACUGUGGCGGACGGGUAAGGAACGCGUAAAGAACUUGCAUCACGGAUAGGGACAACAUAUGGAAACGAAUGCUAAUACCUGAGACUGUGAGAGAGCUUUGCGUCCCAUUAGCUAGUUGGAGAGGUAACGGCUCACCAAGGCGAUGAUGGGUAGCCGGCCUGAGAGGGUGAUCGGCCACAAGGGGACUGAGAGACGGCCGUUACUCCUACGGGAGGCAGCAGUGGGGAAUAUUGGACCAUGGCCACAAGUCUGAUCCAGCAAUUCUGUGUGCACGAUGAAGUUUUCGGAAUGUAAAGUGCUUUCAGUUGGGAAGCGGUACCAACAGAAGAAGGGACGGCUAAAUACGUGCCAGCAGCCGCGGUAAUUC
rnacentral:rRNA from 1 species